UUUUAAAAAUAUUCGCUCUCGCUGUCACAUUGAUAACAGAUCGACACUUCCAAUUUCAGGAGUUUUCUUCAUUGAGUUAGGUUCAUGCUCGAACAAUGGCGAAGCUUGUUCAAUUGACAAGAACAGUAUUCAGAUCCCUAAAACAUCAAUCAUCAUUCACUUUCCAAUUACAAUCUAGAAGAUCUUCUUUUUACUUUUUGAAUACAUAUUUUACAAAACCCUGGAAUUAUUCUCCCAAUCCGAGAAUAAUCUUCACGUCAUGCAGCUAUUCUUCUGUCAUUGAAGAAUUUCAGACCCCUACAACCAUUGAUUACCGGUAAUAAUAUAUCGAUACAUGUACAGUUCUGUGCUUCCGGAAGAGAAGUAUCACAUGUUGGCUAAUUCCACGAUCCAUGACCUGCUAGAGAAGCUAGAGAAUAUGGAGACUCUGUGGAGAUUGAUGGUUUCGAUGUAGACUAUGGGGUAAGAAUGAUGGUUUGAUGUUUGAAAGUGGUUAAUUUUGAAAACAUUUUGUGUCUGUGCUGCUGUAAAUAUGGGUUUCAUUUUGUACAAUGAGGUAUUAACUCUGAAGCUCGGGAAUUUGGGAACCUAUGUAAUAAACAAGCAAACGCCAAAUAGACAGAUUUGGAUGUCAUCUCCCCUGAGUGGCCCAUCUAGGUUUGAUUGGGAUCAAAAUACCCAAGCUUGGAUUUAUAGGCGAACUAAACGGAACUUGAUCAAUGUUUUGGAAACUGAGUUGGAACAACUUUGUGGGAAGUCCAUUAACCUUUCUUCAGCCUAAAGUCGUAAAAUAAAUGUAACUUCUCCAGUAGUCAUUGGUACGAUAGUGAUUAUCUUUUAAUCAAAUGUGAUCUCUCUUUUUAUUUCUAUUUA